rnacentral:rRNA from 1 species
UACGUAGGGUGCAAGCGUUAAUCGGAAUUACUGGGCGUAAAGCGUGCGCAGGCGGCUUUGCAAGACAGAUGUGAAAUCCCCGGGCUUAACCUGGGAACUGCAUUGUGACUGCAUGGCUAGAGUGCGGCAGAGGGGGAUGGAAUUCCGCGUGUAGCAGUGAAAUGCGGUAGAUAUGCGGAGGAACACCGAUGGCGAAGGCAAUCCCUGGCCUGCGACUGACGCUCGAUGCACGAAAGCGUGGGGAGCGAACGGG